AGUGAACGCUGGCGGUAGGCCUAACACAUGCAAGUCGAACGGCAGCACAGUAAGAGCUUGCUCUUACGGGUGGCGAGUGGCGGACGGGUGAGGAAUACAUCGGAAUCUACUUUUUCGUGGGGGAUAACGUAGGGAAACUUACGCUAAUACCGCAUACGACCUACGGGUGAAAGCAGGGGAUCUUCGGACCUUGCGCGAUUGAAUGAGCCGAUGUCGGAUUAGCUAGUUGGCGGGGUAAAGGCCCACCAAGGCGACGAUCCGUAGCUGGUCUGAGAGGAUGAUCAGCCACACUGGAACUGAGACACGGUCCAGACUCCUACGGGAGGCAGCAGUGGGGAAUAUUGGACAGUGGGCGCAAGCCUGAUCCAGCCAUACCGCGUGGGUGAAGAAGGCCUUCGGGUUGUAAAGCCCUUUUGUUGGGAAAGAAAAGCAGCAGGUUAAUACCCCGCUGUUCUGACGGUACCCAAAGAAUAAGCACCGGCCAACUUCGU
rnacentral:rRNA from 1 species